GGGCCCGCACAAGCGGUGGAGCAUGUGGUUUAAUUCGAUGCAACGCGAAGAACCUUACCAGGACUUGACAUACUACGAAUUCUUCUGAGAAGAAGAAGUGCCUUCGGGAAUGUAGAUACAGGUGGUGCAUGGCUGUCGUCAGCUCGUGUCGUGAGAUGUUGGUUAAGUCCCGCAACGAGCGCAACCCUUAUUUUUAGUUACUAAUUCGUUAGGUUCUCUAGAAAGACUGCCGGUGACAAACCGGAGGAAGGUGAGGAUGACGUCAAGUCAGCAUGCCCCUUAUGUCCUGGCUACACACGUGCUACAAUGGUUAAGACAAAGAGUCGCGAGCUUGUGAAAGUCAGCU
rnacentral:rRNA from 1 species